rnacentral:rRNA from 1 species
AGACCCGAAACCCGGUGAUCUAGCCAUGGGCAGGUUGAAGGUUGGGUAACACUAACUGGAGGACCGAACCGACUAAUGUUGAAAAAUUAGCGGAUGACCUGUGGCUGGGGGUGAAAGGCCAAUCAAACCGGGAGAUAGCUGGUUCUCCCCGAAAGCUAUUUAGGUAGCGCCUCGUGAAUUCAUCUCCGGGGGUAGAGCACUGUUUCGGCUAGGGGGCCAUCCCGGCUUACCAACCCGAUGCAAACUGCGAAUACCGGAGAAUGUUAU